GCUUGCUUCAGAAGCACGUCUGCUAAUCAGAAUGAUCCGGAGAAGAUUAGUACGGCCCCCGCACAGGGAUGAAUUACGGAUGUGAAGUGUCCCAUAUUUUC
rfam:Erinaceus europaeus unplaced genomic scaffold scaffold00367, whole genome shotgun sequence